UACAGAGGAUGCAAGCGUUAUCCGGAAUGAUUGGGCGUAAAGCGUCUGUAGGUGGCUUUUUAAGUCCGCCGUCAAAUCCCAGGGCUCAACUCCGGAUCUGCGGUGGGUACGGGCAGACUAGAGUGAUGUAGGGGAGACUGGAAUUCCUGGUGUAGCGGUGAAAUGCGCAGAUAUCAGGAGGAACACCGAUGGCGAAGGCAGGUCUCUGGGCAUUAACUGACGCUGAGGAGCGAAAGCAUGGGGAGCGAACAGG
rnacentral:rRNA from 1 species